rnacentral:rRNA from 1 species
AUCAACUUUCGAUGGUAGGAUAGAGGCCUACCAUGGUGGUAACGGGUAACGGGGUGUUAGGGCACGACACCGGAGAGGGAGCCUGAGAAACGGCUACCACAUCCAAGGAUGGCAGCAGGCGCGCAAAUUACCCAAUCCCGACACGGGGAGGUAGUGACAAUAAAUAACAAUACGGGGUUCUUUAGGAUCUCGUAAUUGGAAUGAGUACAAUUUAAAUCUCUUAACGAGGAACAAUUGGAGGGCAAGUCUGGUGCCAGCAGCCGCGGUAAUUCCAGCUCCAAUAGCGUAUAUUAAAGUUGUUGCAGUUAAAAAGCUCGUAGUUGAAUUUCGGGGUUAGUAGGUUGGUCAUGCCUCUGGUAUGUACUGGUCUCACUGAUUCCUCCUUCCUGAUGAGCCGUAAUGCCAUUAAUUUGGUGUUGCGGGGAAUUUGGACUGUUACUUUGAAAAAAUUAGAGUGUUUAAAGCAAGCUAACGCUUGAAUACAUUAGCAUGGAAUAAUGAAAUAGGACGUUCGAUCCUAUUUUGUUGGUUUCUAGGAUUGACGUAAUGAUUAAUAGGGAUAGUUGGGGGCAUUAGUAUUCAAUUGUCAGAGGUGAAAUUCUUGGAUUUAUUGAAGACUAACUACUGCGAAAGCAUUUGCCAAGGAUGUUUUCAUUAAUCAAGAACGAAAGUUAGGGGAUCGAAGACGAUCAGAUACCGUCGUAGUCUUAACCAUAAACUAUGCCGACUAGGGAUCGGAUGAUGUUAAUUUUUUUAAUGACUCAUUCGGCGCCUUACGGGAAACCAAAGUGUUUGGGUUC